GACGAACGCUGGCGGCGUGCUUAACACAUGCAAGUCGAACGAUGAAGAAAAGAAUCGAAGCUUCGGCAGAAAUUCAUUUCGGAUUAGUGGCAGACGGGUGAGUAACGCGUGAGCAACCUACCUCUUACAAAGGGAUAGCCUCGGGAAACCGGGAUUAAUACCAUAUAACAUUGCGACGAAGCAUUUCGAUGCAAUCAAAGCUACGGCGGUAAGAGAUGGGCUCGCGUCCCAUUAACCGGAUGGUGAGGUAACGGCUCACCAUAGUGACGAUGGGUAACCGGCCUGAGAGGGUGAACGGUCACACUGGAACUGAGACACGGUCCAGACUCCUACGGGAGGAAGCAGUGGGGAAUAUUGCACAAUGGAGGGAACUCUGAUGCAGCGACGCCGCGUGAGUGAUGAAGGAAUUCGUUUCGUAAAACUCUGUUCUAUGGGAAGAAAAGGACUGUACCAUAGGAGAAAGCUCCGGCUAAAUACGUG
rnacentral:rRNA from 1 species